AAGUACAAAAUUUAUCCUAAAUGAGCAAGCCAAAGGUGAGGAAAAACUCCCUGACACAACAUGAGGUAGAAAUCUUGAGAGCAAUCAGACUCAAAAGGGGAACCCAUCCUCUUCUGAGUGACACUGUAUAGUGAGAAUAUAAAUCACUACUCUUCUACAACUGUAUUCUAAAGAGUUAAGCAGUGCUAAGUGCGCUGGAAAUAUCUUCACCAUAAGCAUCAGGGUCAUUCUCUAAAUACACAGGAAGCUUUUUAAACUGCUGCAGUAUCCAGGAACAUCACACACUGACAUUAAUAGAGACAAAAAGAAUAAGGCUUUCUCCAUGUGUGUGGCAUGCAGCUGGAAUUGACUGAAUGCUAAUAAACUGAGGGUAUAAAGAUCCUUUUGGAUAUUGCAUAAUCAUUUAAAAACCUGUAAGUACAUACUGAAUACACUAACCUUUUUUAGAUUUUCAUACUGCUUAAAAUCUUAUUAUUAGCCAUCCAUGUGCAUUGCUGCAAAUAGUUCAAUGUGUACUUCCAACAAGCAGAUUGUUCUGUGACUGGGAGGUAGGACAGACUGUUCAUGUUGUGUAAGUGUACCAAUGUUCGUAUGCAAUGUGCAUGACUGUACAGUUAUAUGUGGGUGUGAAUAUGACAGACAGUAUUUUUCUACUUGCACAAUGAAAGUAAACAGAUCAGUUCCAUCAGGGUUCCUGUGUAUGUGUGUGUGUGUGUGUGUGUGUGCACGCAUGUGUGUGUAUUUGAGAUCAUGCCAGACUUGCACAUUGCUUCCCAGGUAGCACUGACAUCAGCUUAUCAUAAGAGAGUUUGGAGCCAAAACCCAGGACUUAUUCCAGUCCCAUUCCAAUUCACUUCAUUAAAAUGUAGCCAGUCAGCACCUUAUAUGUAGGUGCACAAUGCAACAACAGGCCAGGUGAAUCAGGACCCCGGAGGUCUGCGACAUUCUUUCCUGACCCCCCACGGGAACAGGCUUAUGAAUGGAAAUGAGAUUUUAAUUCACACUUCACAUCCGAAGGGUUAUCUUCACAUCCCACUGGUUUGGUGAGCAAGUGCUAUUUUUUACAGCCCCUCACUUCAAAUCUCCCACAGUGGAGUUAGGUGGGUGUCUCUGGUAGAGUGGAGAAUUGCGGCAGCAAUUUCACCCUCUUCCUACUGUGAGGAAUAAUUAUACCACUGCCUGGCAGAGCUGAUCUGUUCCACCUGAGGCAAAAGCUGCUUGCUGCUCUAUAAGACCUCCUGGUGUCUUCGUCUGGGCCCCAUUCUGUCGCCUAGGAAACCAAAAUACAUGUUGAAAAGUGAUUCACUACCAGCCAGCAGACGUUCAGCUCAAGGCAUGUUACACAACUAUGCACAACAAUAUUACAUUUAGCCAGAUGCGUUGAAAGACCUUAACUGUACUGAUGCUUUUUUUUAUUAUGUGAACAGCUAAAUAAGUGGGGCAGUGGCUUAAAAGGGCAAGGUAAGGAAACAGUUAGGAAACCAGAUGAAAUUUGCAUGUAAAUGCCUUUGCCUAGCUUCUUUUUUUCAGGCAGAGAAAUCUAGACUCCCCUGCUUUCACUAGCUUUGGAGUCUCCAUUUUCCUUGUCCCAAUUACACUCCUUUGUAGCAGCUGGUCCAGUGUUCAAUUAUAGAGACAAACUGAAACAGUCUAGACCAGCCAACAGAACUCACACACAUACAUAUACUGUAUGUAUGUAUGUAUGUAUGUAUGUAUGUAUGUAUGUGCCUUACACACACACACAUUGAGUCUAUACUGUGAAUAUAAGGCUCAAAACUACUGUCUUUUUCUCUCAGCUUUACACAAAAAUCAACAAAAUCAGAGGUACAUCUUUCACAAUCUUCUGACUAACAGCUCUCAUUCCAGUCUGUUUCACCUAAAAAUAGUCUUCUGCUCAGCCCAGUGUGUGCGAGAAUGAAAAAAAAAAUGGCACAGAGCAGAGACAGUGUAAGAAACUCUUGCAUUCCUUCCUGUCCUGUUCUCCACUCUGUACUAGAUAAAGUUCACACCACCUGGACUAAAUGAGCUGUUCUGGCUCCCUAAAAUCACAUUCACAACGCCGUAUGAUUUGUUUAGUGUAACAAACAUUGACAUAUGAGCCAAUAUGUAAAGUACUAAAACUACGACAAUAAGCAAAAGGCUCCAUAUUCCCGAUGGGCCUUCAUUCAGCAAUAGCAUCAUGGCUCAAAUGUUUUGAAUGAGACUGUCAGUAAUGAUUUUCACCUCUUCCCCAAAGCCUAGUAUGCUGGCUCUCGCGCACCAAGAUACUAUGAUGGUGUGACGUCAUACCAAACAAACCCCCACCGCUUAGACAAACUAAAAAGCUGUAUUUUUCA